UACGUAGGUGGCGAGCGUUGUCCGGAAUUACUGGGUGUAAAGGGCGUGUAGGCGGGAUUGCAAGUCAGAUGUGAAAUUCCGAGGCUUAACCUCGGCGCUGCAUCUGAAACUGUGAUUCUUGAGUGCUGGAGAGGAUAGUGGAAUUCCUAGUGUAGCGGUGAAAUGCGUAGAUAUCCGGAGGAACACCAGUGGCGAAAGCGGCCACCUGGACUGUACCUGACGCUCAAACGGCGAAAGCUAGGGGAGCGAACGGG
rnacentral:rRNA from 1 species